rnacentral:rRNA from 1 species
ACGGGUGAGUAACGCGUAUGCGAACCUACCUAUCGAGAGGGGAAUAACCCGGCGAAAGUCGGACUAAUACCGCAUAAAACAGGGGCACCGCAUGGUGAUAUUUGUUAAAGAAAUUCGCUGAUAGAUGGGCAUGCGUUCCAUUAGGUAGUUGGUGAGGUAACGGCUCACCAAGCCGACGAUGGAUAGGGGAACUGAGAGGUUGGUCCCCCACACUGGUACUGAGACACGGACCAGACUCCUACGGGAGGCAGCAGUGAGGAAUAUUGGUCAAUGGGCGGGAGCCUGAACCAGCCAAGUCGCGUGAAAAGGAAGAAGGAUCUAUGGUUCGUAAACUUCUUUUGCAGGGGAAUAAAGUGCAGGACGUGUCCUGUUUUGUAUGUACCCUGAGAAUAAGGAUCGGCUAACUCCGUGCCAGCCGCUGC